UGGGGCUGAGUUUCCUGUCCCCUGGGGGUCAAGACCAGAUGGAAGUGUGCUCUGUCUGCUUAAUGGGCAUCAUGUCUCCACAUGGGUGCUUGUCCAUCUGGGGCCUAUUUCCUAACACUGACUCUUUAGUGAGGUUCAUGGGAAAGUGAAGGACAAAUUUAUCACCUGAUGAUUCUAGUGAUGGGGAGAUUCCCAGAUGUCACACAUCAGUGGGGAAGGUCCCUUCUGAGGACAGACAUCCAGAUGGGCAGUUGAUCUACUUCCCACAUGUGUACUUUCCCUGUAUUUCCUGAUCCUACCCUAGUGUUCAGUCACAGUUCUGGAACCUUCCCUGGGUUUCAGGAAUGUGGGGCUCCUUUAGGAUCACAGGACGCAGCCUUCCCCCUGACUUCUCACAGAACAUUUUCUUCCCACAGGCAGAGGCAAGGAGAGCUAUGAUCAGGCUGUCUGUAAGUCUGGGUGUCAGAGAAGUGACAUCUGGGACCCUUGGGAGAGUGUGGGCUGGAGUCUUUGAGGGGGGCUCCCCCACCCUGUAACUCUGCUGUUGUGUCUUCCCCAGGCAGCAACAGUGCCCAGGGCUCUGAUGUGUCUCUCACAGCUCCUGAUGUGUGACAGAGCUGCUUUCUGCAGGACUUGGUGCUAAAUAGUCAGUCCAGCUUCCCUUUGGGAUUAUGAAUCCCUGACUGCUGAU